rnacentral:rRNA from 1 species
CUUGAAGACGACGAGGUAGAUAGGUUGGAGGUGGAAGUGCAGUAAUGCAUGGAGCUGACCAAUACUAAUCGGUCGAGGGCUUAUCCUA